rnacentral:rRNA from 1 species
GUGAAAGCCCGGGGCUCAACCCCGGAAGGUCUUUCGAAACUGCUAAUCUAGAGAGGGUCAGGGGCCGGCGGAAUUCCUGGUGUAGAGGUGAAAUUCGUAGAUAUCAGGAGGAAUACCGGUGGCGAAGGCGGCCUGCUGGGGCCUCUCUGACGCUGAGGCGCGAAAGCGUGGGGAGCAAACAGGAUUAGAUACCCUGGUAGUCCACGCCGUAAACGAUGAGCACUGGACGUCGGGAGGGUUCACCCUUCUGGGUGUCUCAGCUAACGCAUUAAGUGCCCCGCCUGGGGAGUACGGCCGCAAGACUAAAACUCAAAGGAAUUGACGG